UACGGGGGGGAGCAAGCGUUGUUCGGAUUUACUGGGCGUAAAGGGCGCGUAGGCGGCCAGCACAAGUCAGUUGUGAAAUCUCCGAGCUUAACUCGGAAAGGUCAACUGAUACUGUGCGGCUAGAGUGCGGAAGGGGCAACUGGAAUUCUUGGUGUAGCGGUGAAAUGCGUAGAUAUCAAGAGGAACACCUGCGGCGAAGGCGGGUUGCUGGGCCGAUACUGACGCUGAGGAGCGAAAGCGUGGGGAGCAAACAGG
rnacentral:rRNA from 1 species